CAAGUCUGGUGCCAGCAGCCGCGGUAAUUCCAGCUCCAAUAGCGUAUAUUAAAGUUGUUGCAGUUAAAAGCUCGUAGUUGAAUUUCGGGAUUAGUACGUCGGUCGUGCCUUGGUACGUACUGGUGUAACUGAUUCCUCCCUUCUGACGAACCGUCAUGCCAUUAAUUUGGUGUGGCGGGAAAUCAGGACUGUUACUUUGAAAAAUUAGAGUGUUUAAAGCAGGCUCGCGCUUGAAUACAUUAGCAUGGAAUAAUGAAAUAGGACGUUAUCCUAUUUUGUUGGUUUCUAGGAUCGACGUAAUGAUUAAUAGGGAUAGUUGGGGGCAUUAGUAUUCAAUUGUCAGAGGUGAAAUUCUUGGAUUUAUUGAAGACUAACUACUGCGAAAGCAUUUGCCAAGGAUGUUUUCAUUAAUCAAGAACGAAAGUUAGGGGGAUCGAAGACGAUCAGAUACCGUCGUAGUCUUAACCAUAAACUAUGCCGACUAGGGAUCGGAUGAUGUUAAUUUUUUAAUGACUCAUUCGGCGCCUUACG
rnacentral:rRNA from 1 species